rnacentral:tRNA from 1 species
CCUGGUGGCUCAGAUGGUAAAGAACCUGCCUGCAAUGCAGGAAACCUGGGUUAAAUCCCUAGGUCAGGA